rnacentral:lncRNA from 1 species
AGAAGAUUAGCUCAGAAAACUCAUAGCAUUCGAUUAGAGAAAAAUAAUCUCAAACCCUAAUUGAAAUUGAAACCCUAAUUGAUGAAAUCAACCGACAUGAAGCAGUAAUUCAAGAUGCCAACAACGAAGAAGAUGCCGACAACGAAGAGGACGCCGACGAUGAAGAGGGCGCUCUUCCAUAAAGGCAGCUGAGGGGAGAGAGCGAUGUGAAGAUGAAAGGUUUUUUGGUUGAGGAAGCUUAAGGGCUUACUGACGGGAGAUAGCGAUGUGGAGAAAGAGAGAGAGAGAGAGCCCUUUUCUUUUUCUGGCUAAUAAAGAAGAGGACCAAGAAACAAAAUGCCCUUCAGCCUUCACCCAAAAUAAAACAAAACAAAAAAUGUCCAAAAAAAAGAAGAGGGGGAGAAUUUUUGAUAUCCCGCUUCCUAAAAAUUGAAGUCUCACUUGCUAAGGCUGGGCUCGGUCCGGUUCGUCCUGGUAUAAAACUAGAACUAGAAUCGGUAUUGUUCAUUCGGUCCAAUUCAGUCUGAUUUUUAUGAAAUUCUAAUAACAAACCCAAACCAAAUCGGACCAAUUAGAUCCGAUCUGGUUUCCAGUUUUCCUAGUUCGGACCAGCUCCAAAGCCCAAUUGAUUUUUUUGUUUUUUUGUUUUACAUUUCUAGCUUCAAG